ACUUCCUGAGCCGGAACGAAGAGCUUUUAUCGGAAUGCGUGUUCUGAUGGGCUUUUGGCUUACGGUUGUGAUGUUGUGUUGUUGUGUUUGCAAUUGGUCUGCGAUUCAGACCAUGGUAGCAAGGCUACCCUAUUUUCACUUCCUGUACAUUUACCCUGUCUGUCCAUAGUGAUUAAUGUAGCACCGCAAACUGCGGUGCUUUUUUUU
rfam:Yokenella regensburgei ATCC 43003 genomic scaffold Scfld129, whole genome shotgun sequence.